GUCCAGUGUUGAUUUAGGCAAGUUGCAUGUUCUGUAGGAAGAUAGGAAGUUCAGAUAGGUUUGUAGAUAAGGCAGGAAGAAGAGUUGUACAGGUAAGUUUGGAGCAGGUUGGUGAGUAUUGCAGGACAAGUAGCCAAUAAGGAAAUUCCACAGGUUAUAUCAGGAGCCAGGAUAUGAAGUCUUUUCAGGUAAUCAUCAAACUUCAAUGUCAAGGCCCCUUGCUUUGUCGGGUG